rfam:Felis catus isolate Cinnamon breed Abyssinian chromosome X, whole genome shotgun sequence.
GCCUGGGUGGCUCAGUCGGUUGAGCAUCUCACUUCGGCUCAGGUCGCGAUCUCACGGUUCGUAAGUUCAAGCCCUGCUUCGGGCU